rnacentral:rRNA from 1 species
AACCGCUUAGAAGAAAAUGGACGGAGCCGAUCAGGAGCCUUCGGGAAUCAGUCGUACGCUUCGCGAAAGUGUCCCGGUUCUAGAGCGCAAGUCUAGCCGGGGCGCGUUGACUAGUAGCGAUCGAACGACGCAUUUCUCGAAGGUAAGCACUGCGACCGAUACUCAAUAGACCCACGAGGCGACCUGGUUGAGGUCGAGUACCUUCGGGUAUUCGGAACCAGUCUAAUCGUACUCGUGGGAUCACUGUAUCGAGCGCCCUAUAGUCUUACGCCGGCGUAAAUCGCUCGUUCGAGUAACGGAUAGGCGGCCAAUAAGCCGGUACCUGCUCGCAGGGACCGGUCGACUCUGGUCGCCUCAGAAGUUACCGACGACCAAUCCGGCGUAUUGGCGUCGGCAGUGUCAGUGUCGGCCACCCGUCCAACCCGUCUUGAAACACGGACCAAGGAGUCUAACAUAUGCGCGAGCUAAUGAGUGGAAAACUCAGAGGCGCAAUAAAAGUAAACGCUGUUUCGGACAGCUCAGAUACGAUCCCGUAGUCUCCGGACUGCGGGCGCAGUAUCGUCCCGUCUCGACCGCACGUCGGUAGGGCGGAGAAAGAGUGCAUACGUUGGGACCCGAAAGAUGGUGAACUAUGCCUGAGCAGAGCGAAGCCAGAGGAAACUCUGGUGGAGGUUCGUAGCGGUUCUGACGUGCAAAUCGAUCGUCAGACUUGGGUAUAGGGGCGAAAGA